CUACGGGCGGCACCAGUGAGGAAUAUUGCACAAUGGGGGGAACCCUGAUGCAGCAACGCCGCGUGGAGGAUGACGCAUUUCGGUGUGUAAACUCCUUUUAUAUGUCAAGAAAAUGACGGUAGCAUAUGAAUAAGCACCGGCUAACUCCGUGCCAGCAGCCGCGGUAAUACGGAGGGUGCAAGCGUUACUCGGAAUCACUGGGCGUAAAGGACGCGUAGGCGGGUUGGAAAGUCAGGUGUGAAAUCUACAGCUUAACUGUAGAACUGCACUUGAAACUUCUAAUCUAGAGUAUGGGAGGGGGAGAUGGAAUUAGUGGUGUAGGGGUAAAAUCCGUAGAUAUCACUAGGAAUACCUAAAGCGAAGGCGAUCUCCUGGAACAUUACUGACGCUAAGGCGUGAAAGCGUGGGGAGCAAACAGGAUUAGAUACCCUUGUAGUC
rnacentral:rRNA from 1 species